rnacentral:rRNA from 1 species
GUGCCAGCCGCCGCGGUAAUACGGAGGGUGCAAGCGUUAUCCGGAUUCACUGGGUUUAAAGGGUGCGUAGGCGGGCAUGUAAGUCCGUGGUGAAAUCUCCGAGCUUAACUCGGAAACUGCCAUGGAUACUAUGUGUCUUGAAUGUUGUGGAGGUGAGCGGAAUAUGUCAUGUAGCGGUGAAAUGCUUAGAUAUGACAUAGAACACCAAUUGCGAAGGCAGCUCACUACACAAAUAUUGACGCUGAGGCACGAAAGCGUGGGGAUCAAACAGGAUUAGAUACCCGUGUAGUCC